rfam:Schistosoma curassoni strain Dakar, Senegal genome assembly, scaffold: SCTD_contig0000984
AUCUAAUUGAUGAAUCCCAAUCAGGACGAAACGUGCGUCCUGGAU